AUUCUGGUUGAUCCUGCCAGUAGUUAUAUGCUUGUCUCAAAGAUUAAGCCAUGCAUGUCUAAGUACACACGAAUUAAAAGUGAAACCGCAAAAGGCUCAUUAUAUCAGUUAUGGUUCCUUAGAUCGUUAACAGUUACUUGGAUAACUGUGGUAAUUCUAGAGCUAAUACAUGCAAUUAAAACACGGACCUUAUGGGACGUGUGCUUUUAUUAGGCUAAAACCAAGCGAUCGUAAGAUCGUUACAUUGGUUGAACUCUAGAUAACAUGCAGAUCGUAUGGUCUUGUACCGACGACAGAUCUUUCAAAUGUCUGCCCUAUCAACUUUUGAUGGUAGUAUCUAGGACUACCAUGGUUGCAACGGGUAACGGGGAAUCAGGGUUCGAUUCCGGAGAGGGAGCCUGAGAAACGGCUACCACAUCUAAGGAAGGCAGCAGGCGCGUAAAUUACCCACUCCCAGCUCGGGGAGGUAGUGACGAAAAAUAACAAUACAGGACUCAUAUCCGAGGCCCUGUAAUUGGAAUGAGUACACUUUAAAUCCUUUAACAAGGACCAAUUGGAGGGCAAGUCUGGUGCCAGCAGCCGCGGUAAAUCCAGGCUCCAAUAAGCGUAUAUUAAAAGUUGUGCCGUUAAAACGUUCGUAGUUGAACUUGUGCUUCAUACGGUAGUA
rnacentral:ncRNA from 1 species